GACGAACGCUGGCGGCGUGCCUAACACAUGCAAGUAGAACGCAGAUGCGAAUGGGUGAGUAACGCGUAGGUAACUGCCUCAUAGCGGGGGAUAACAAUUGGAAACGAUAGCUAAUACCGCAAUCUGUGAGAUGGACCUGCGUUGUAUUAGCUAGUUGGUGAGGUAAAGGCUAACCAAGGCGACGAUAGAUAGCCGACCUGGGAGGCAUAACGGCCAAACUGGGACUGGGACACGGCCCAGACGCCUACGGGAGGCAGCAGUAAGGAAUCUUCGGCAAAUGGCAGAAAUCUGGCCGAGCAACGCCGCGUGAGUGAAAAAAGUUUUCGGAUCGUAAAGCUCUGUUAUUAGGGGAGCGGUAACUAACGAAUAAGGAACGGCUAACUACGUGCCAGCAGCCGCGGUAAUAC
rnacentral:rRNA from 1 species